UACAGAGGUCUCAAGCGUUGUUCGGAUUCAUUGGGCGUAAAGGGCGCGUAGGCGGUGGGGUAAGUCUGGUGUGAAAUCUCGGAGCUCAACUUCGAAAUUGCACUGGAUACUGCUCUGCUAGAGGGCUGGAGAGGAGAUCGGAAUUCACGGUGUAGCAGUGAAAUGCGUAGAUAUCGUGAGGAAGACCAGUGGCGAAGGCGGAUCUCUGGACAGCCCCUGACGCUGAGGCGCGAAGGCUAGGGGAGCAAACGGG
rnacentral:rRNA from 1 species